GAUGAAGAACGUAGCGAAAUGCGAUAAGUAAUGUGAAUUGCAGAAUUCAGUGAAUCAUCGAAUCUUUGAACGCACAUUGCGCCCGCCAGUAUUCUGGCGGGCAUGCCUGUUCGAGCGUCAUUUCAACCCUCAGGACCCUUUGGACCUGGUGUUGGGGCUCGGCCGCUACCCCGCGGCCGUCCCCGAAAGAUAGUGGCGGUCUCGCUGUAGCGUCUUCUGCGUAGUAAUUACACCUCGCACUGGAACGCGGCGCGGCCACGCCGUUAAACACCCCACUUCUCAAGGUUGACCUCGGAUCAGGUAGGAAUACCCGCUGAACUUAAGCAUAUCAAUAAGCGGAGGA
rnacentral:misc_RNA from 1 species